CCUUGAAGACGACGAGGUAGAUAGGCUGGGGGUGGAAGUGCAGCAAUGCAUGGAGCUGACCAGUACUAAUCGGUCGAGGGCUUAUCCA
rnacentral:rRNA from 4 species